UUAUCUACCGCACUCGGUCCGCCGAGAGUCUAACGAGAGUCUUUCUCUUCUCAUAAGCACAUCCAUCCGCCUCUGCUACCAACAUUAAAGCAGCCUCCAGAAAGCGAGAGGGAGUGAGAAUCAUGUGAUCAUCCCUUUCACCUCACUACCUUUCCCUUUUUUGAAAAAACCAGACCCAAAAGAAAAACCCAAACCUCCUCCUUUCAUCAUCUUCCAUCAUUGCCUUUUUCUUUCAUUUCAUUCAUUCUGAGAGAAGAAUGAAUGUUUAGCAAGAUACAGAGGUAUAGAGUUUGUUAGAGAGAGAGAGAGAGAGAGAGAGAGAGAGAGAAUGGGAUCAACAAGCGCUUCAAGAUUCAUAAAAUGUGUGACUGUCGGAGACGGCGCCGUGGGCAAGACUUGCAUGCUCAUCUCCUACACCAGCAACAAAUUCCCCACUGACUACGUACCAACAGUUUUCGAUAACUUUAGUGCGAAUGUUGUCGUCGAAGGGACUACUGUGAAUUUAGGCCUCUGGGAUACUGCUGGGCAAGAGGAUUACAAUAGGCUAAGACCUUUGAGCUACAGAGGAGCAGAUGUUUUUGUGUUAGCUUUUUCGCUAGUUAGCCGUGCGAGCUUUGAAAAUGUGAUGAAAAAGUGGAUUCCUGAACUUCAGCAUUACGCUCCUGGAGUUCCGAUCAUACUGGCCGGCACCAAAUUGGAUCUUCGUGAAGAUAAAUAUUAUUUGUCUGAUCAUCCGGGCUUGGUUCCUGUGACUACUGCACAAGGAGAGGAACUCCGUAAGCAGAUUGGUGCUGCUUAUUAUGUGGAAUGCAGCUCGAAAACCCAACAGUUCCACCCAAUCUACAGAAUGUCAAAGCAGUUUUCGAUGCUGCAAUCAAGGUAGUCAUUCAGCCACCAUCGAAACAGAAGGAAAAGAAGAAAAAGCCACGCCGCGGAUGUUCAUUACUGAAUGUCCUAUGCGGAAGGAGCAUAGUGUGCUUCAAAUGAAGUCUACUCGUAAUUAUAUCCUUGACACAUAUAGCUACCCUUAAAAUAUGUGGCCUGCAGCAUCUCCAUCAUGUUUUCAUUAAUGGGUUUGAUUCUCAUUUGGUGUUUUGUGUUUAUUGAUUUGUCAAAGGCUGCUUCCAUUAGAAAUGAAGCCGUUUAUUCAUCUUGAAAAUGUACAAAAUGUUGAAGAACAAUGUUUGGGCAGGUACACAUGUUUUAGCUAAAUGCCUUUGGUGCGCCGUUCUUCUCAAAGCGAUGACUAUUCGUCAUUUUACUGAUUAGAUGCCAUGUUUGAAAUGUAAAGCUGAAAAGUGGACUGAGAAAUGUACUGAGGAAUAUCCUCAAUUCAGUGAUCUGACAGACAAAGGCCAUCAUCCUGAGAGUUUUCCCUGUUUCCAAAUUUUAAAGGUGGUAGUAUCAUUUCUUGUA